AGGCCAGUAGCUCAAUCGGCAGAGCAGCAGUCUCCAAAACUGCAGGUUGGGGGUUCGAUUCCCUCCUGGCCUGCCA
rnacentral:tRNA from 1 species